GGCCCCGCAGCUCAAUGGAACUGAGCGUCUCUCCGUAACAGGGGAGAGCGGGAUUGAAUCCCAUCGGGGCCUCCA
rnacentral:tRNA from 1 species